UAAGGGGAGUCACUCUGGAGAUCUGCCUGAAUUAGUGGGUUGGAAAAAUCAAGAGGAAGAAAUAUCUACAAACUAAGAACAAAUAUAUACAGAGAAAUAAAUUAUGACAAAGACAUUCAGUUAAAGAUUCGUUUUCCACAUAUUGUUCCUGUAGAAAUUACUGGAGCUUGUACAUCAUCAAAAUAAUGGCAUAAAUCAAGGAAGAAGAAAAAAAAAUUGAGGAAACAAGAUCCAACACAAAAGAGAAGCAAAGGAAUUUUGUGACUGUUGGUAAAGAGAGACCCCAGUGACAGCUGUGCAGCUGGCCUGAAAAUGAGCCAAUCCAGAUUGGAUCAGGGCAGAGGCUCGAGGAGCGACUUCUUCAAGAAGAUAAAAUUAAUGAAAUACCUAAUGGGCUUGGGGAUAUUGAGAUUUGCAUAAGUUCUGGAGGCUAUGGGGGAUAAAUUAAUGUUAAAUAAGUGAAAAGUAAAAAAUGGAAAAAAAAUUCUUAAUUAGGGAAAAUAAUCAUAGUAAACUGCAUGAGUCAGCCAUCAAUAGUAUUUUCAUCGUCAAUAUAAACAAUGGAUAUUAAUCUAAACAAUUGAUAUGAAUCCUGUGGGGUAUUGAUAACACAGGCCUCUAGAAGGGCUGACUAAUGGCUGGGUGGCAGCAUGGAGGGGAAAGACUAGGGGAGAGAAGUGGAUAUUGACCUAUCAAACAUGAUAAAAAGAUUUUGGAAGAACCAGGGGACCCAAGUGCAUUUGUAGGUGGUGAGAAUAGUGGUUAUAUUUGAAAGAGAGCUGAAUUCUCAUCUUUGUAAUAAAUAUUAUUGGUAGAUAAUAAUGCCUAUAACAAAGUUGGUAAGAGUGUAACACUGUAAGAAUUCUAUUUAGAGAUCGGAGGUAAAUACCAAAAACCAGCAGAAAGAGUUGAAAGCAAUUGCUGUAAUUACAGGGGUGAAAAAUUUGAAAUGUGUGGGGCCUAAUGUUUUUCAUAACAAAUCUUGUAGAGUUUUAAAUGAUGCAUAUGUAUAACUGCUGGAAAAAAAACCCCCAAAAACCUAAAUUGAAAAUAAAAGGAAGUAAUGAGAGAAGACAGAGACUUGAUAGAUCCAAGAGAUAAAAUAUUAGAAGGAAUUCUACAAGCUUAAAAGAAAAGGAGAGAGUAAGAACUCAUAUUAGAACAAAGAUCUAAGUCUUCAUCUUGAAGGGUCCCCCCAUUCCCUCACCCCAACUCAAGUUUUAAUUUGGAUUGAUCAGAAAAACUGAUAAUGGGCAUAGCCUUAUAUAAUUUUCAAACUCCAAGCAUAGCAAUAAAAUAUUACUGGGUUCUAGAUAGAAAAAAAAAAAGUUACUUGCAAAGGAAAAGAAAAAGACUGAGAUUGAAUUUCUUGUAUGCAACUUUGGAGAGUAGAGGAUGGUAGGAUAAUGUCAAUGGACUAGUGAGAGAAUUCCACCCCAUGAAUCCUAUACUAGGCGAAGCUGUCAGUCACCUGUCAGGGAAAAAGAUAUUUGCAGAUGUGCAAAGAUUCAGAGAUUAGAGAAGUCUUGAGAAAAUACACUAAUCAACAGAAGGGUUUGAACAGUGACUGUAGGAUAUGGGAAAGUAAAAAAGAGAGGAAAUAGUGAUAAGCAAUGAAGUUGGCAGUAUGCACAUGGUUCAGUCUCAUUGGAUAGUGACUAUUAGAAAAUGCUUACUGUAGGUUCUAAAGAAGUAUUCUUUUUUCUCCAGCUUUCAACUUGAAAAUCUUCAAAAUAAAAAUUUGAAAGACUUUUACCUUGAUUCACCAGUUUCUCUUGUAAUCAGGAAUAUUUCUUUAGAAAUGGCUGAUUCCAAGGCAGAAAAAUUAGAAGGCCAGAUAUCCAAUUGCAUGUUUCUCAUGGACCAUUGCCUGCAGCUACAACUGGUACCAAUUUAUAUGUUAGUGUUUUAGUUAAAGCAACUCUAUGCAGUGUAAGCAGAAAAUGAAUUAAUUGUUAGGACGUUUAGUUGCUCAAAAUCUCCAAGGUUGCAGAGCUAGGAAGAGUGCUCCAAAUCAUGUCCUGUAAGCACACCAUUGCUGCUGCUGCUGAGACUGGGUGCUGUACUGUGCAUCACUGACAGCAGUAGUAAUGGACCUUGGACUGGGGCCACUAGCACUGCUCCCAUUGCCACCCUAGGAAUAUUAUCGUGCUCCAUCUAUUGUCAUUGCCAGAGUAAAUUGCUCACGUUCUCCUCUUCUUUGCAUCACUGGUUCAAAAUCUAGAGUGGAUGCAUCUGAUUGGUGGAACUUAGGUCAUGGGUCCGUGUUUCAGCUGUGAGGGCCACUAAGAAGGUGAGUAUCUGGCAUUUUCUUUUCUUUAGUUUGUGGCAGGCUCUACCACCUACCAAUACUCCUAAAGUGUGGAAUCAUCAAAAUAUAGGGGGUAGGUUGUGGCAAAUACUAUGGGUUGGCUCACUCAACACCCAUUCCAACCUUCUUCUAGAUGGUCUUUGUCUGGAAAGUGAUGGAUUACAUUCCCACGCUCCAUUGCCACCACAGAGCAUGAGUACAAGAUUGGGAUAGAAAGUCAAGUCAUGUGAGAUGGUGGUUGCAUGCAGGGAGACUUGACCUUCUACAAGUAUGAUUUUGGAGGAGGUUGAUUUUUUUCAGAGUAGCUGUGAGGGAAUUUUGUAUUCAGAGCUAAAUGUACUAACUUGUGAGUGGAGUUAUCAAUUGAGUUUCUUAGGACAGACCCACAGGGUAGCUGUGCCUUGUUUCUCACUGUGUUGUUCUUGGCUCACUGACUCUGUCUCUGUCUUUGGCUCUGUCUUUGGCAAAGCCUUGUUCUCUGGCCCUCUCAGGGAUUCUGUGAGCUAGCUAAUAAGUCCCUUUCUGCUAAAACUAGCUUGAUUCAAUUCUACUGUUUGCAAGUGAAAGCCCUGACUAAUAGAGAGCUUAAGGUGGUAGGUGGCCCAAAAUAAUGAUAAAUACC
rnacentral:lncRNA from 1 species